rnacentral:tRNA from 1 species
GGAGGCGCAUCUGGUCUGGUGACCGGCUCGGACUUCAAAUCCGUUGGACCGGGGCGAAAGCUUCGGGUUGGUCGGGUUCGAUUCCCACACGCCUCCGCCA